rnacentral:rRNA from 1 species
AUUGAACGCUGGCGGCAUGCUUUACACAUGCAAGUCGAACGGCAGCACGGGGGCAACCCUGGUGGCGAGUGGCGAACGGGUGAGUAAUGCAUCGGAACGUACCCAGUCGUGGGGGAUAACGCAGCGAAAGUUGUGCUAAUACCGCAUACGACCUGAGGGUGAAAGCGGGGGACCGUAAGGCCUCGCGCGAUUGGAGCGGCCGAUGUCUGAUUAGCUAGUUGGUGGGGUAAAAGGCCCACCAAGGCGACGAUCAGUAGCGGGUCUGAGAGGAUGAUCCGCCACACUGGGACUGAGACACGGCCCCGACUCCUACGGGAGGCAGCAGUGGGGAAUUUUGGACAAUGGGGGCAACCCUGGUCCAGCCAUGCCGCGUGCGGGAAGAAGGCCUCGGUUGUAA